rnacentral:rRNA from 1 species
AUUGAACGCUGGCGGCAGGCCUAACACAUGCAAGUCGAACGAGUGGCGGACGGGUGAGUAAUGUCUGGGAAACUGCCUGAUGGAGGGGGAUAACUACUGGAAACGGUAGCUAAUACCGCAUACCAUCGGAUGUGCCCAGAUGGGAUUAGCUAGUAGGUGGGGUAAUGGCUCACCUAGGCGACGAACCCUAGCUGGUCUGAGGGGAUGACCAGCCACACUGGAACUGUGACACGGUCCAGACGCCUACGGGAGGCAGCAGGGGGGAAUAUUGCACAAUGGGCGCAAGCCUGAUGCAGCCAUGCCGCGUGUAUGAAGAAGGCCUUCGGGUUGUAAAGCACUUUCAGCGAGGAGGCGUUACUCGCAGAAGAAGCACCGGCUAACUCCGUGCCAGCAGCCGCGGUAAUUC